rnacentral:rRNA from 1 species
GAUGAACGCUGACAGAAUGCUUAACACAUGCAAGUCUUUGGCGAAGCUGUGCUUGCACCGCCUAGCCAAGGCGGACGGGUGAGUAACGCGUAAGGAACUUGCCCUGCAGUCAGGGAUAACAGACGGAAACGACUGAUAAGACCUGGUAAAGUCAGGCGGACUCAUGUCCAGCCUGAUGAAAAGUGAUGCUGCAGGAGAGCCUUGCGUCCUAUUAGCUUGUUGGUGGGGUAACGGCCCACCAAGGCGAUGAUAGGUAGCCGGCCUGAGAGGGUGGACGGCCACAAGGGGACUGAGAUACGGCCCUUACUCCUACGGGAGGCAGCAGUGGGGAAUAUUGGACAAUGGGGGCAACCCUGAUCCAGCAAUUCUGUGUGCACGAUGAAGGUUUUCGGAUUGUAAAGUGCUUUCAGCAGGGAAGAAAAAAAUGACUGUACCUGCAGAAGAAGCGACGGCUAAAUACGUG